rnacentral:rRNA from 1 species
UACGUAGGCAGCAAGCGUUGUUUGGAGUUACUGGGCGUAAAGGGUGUGUAGGCGGUUGUUUAAGUUUGGUGUGAAAUCUCCCGGCUCAACCGGGAGGGUGCGCCGAAUACUGAAUGACUAGAGUGCGGGAGAGGAAAGUGGAAUUCCUGGUGUAGCGGUGAAAUGCGUAGAUAUCAGGAGGAACACCGGUGGUGUAGACGGCUUUCUGGACCGUAACUGACGCUGAGACACGAAGGCUAGGGGAGCGAACGGG